rnacentral:rRNA from 1 species
AUGGAAAAUACUCUGAAUGCUGCAAUUGGAGAGGAGCCUGAAGCUGUACCACUGGAAGUCCAAGGCAAGACCACUGAAAAUACUCUGAAUGAUGCAGUUGGAGUGGAGCCUGAAACUGUACCACUGGAAAGCAGAGUCGAGCUCGAGACCAUGGAAAACACACUGAACGAUGCAGGAUGUCCGAGUAAAACGAGUGCUGAACCUGCCCUGCCUGAAAGUACAAGCGAUGGAGCACCAUGUGAAGACGGCGGUGCCACGGUGUACGCCAAUCCUGAUUCCAAGGUGUCUUUGGAGAGCCAUGGUGGUGAGCAAAAGGAGCAGGAUGAUGAUGGAGGUAAAGCAGAUGUUUCUGAAUCAACCGAGGGCGAUGCCACCGUGCCUGCAGAAACUCUAGCAACAGGAGCGAAUUCUGCAGCGCCUGUACCAGAAGCGGGCAAGCCGGAAGAAGGUGCUGAAGGAGCACCUCCAGAGGUAGAAGAAGCGGCCUCGGCAACACGCGAUAACGGUCCCAAGGGCGGCGACGACGAAAAGAACAAGGGCUUGGACGACGAGAACGAGAAGCUGAAGGAGAUGCUGCAGAAGCUCCUCGCCUCCGGCAACGACCAGAUGGGGGUCAUCGCGGAGCUGAGCGACAAGGUGAGGUCGCUGGAGAGGAAGCUCGCGGUGCACAAGAGGAGGAGGAGGCCCAAGGUGAGGGUGCAGCAACGUCCACUGAAGAAUGACCACGCUUGA